rnacentral:rRNA from 1 species
AGUGAACGUUGGCGGCGUGGAUUAGGCAUGCAAGUCGAGCGAGAACCGUAGCAAUACGGGGACAGCGGCGAAAGGGACAGUAAUGUGUAGGUACCUACCUCCGGGUUCGGGAUAGCUGCGGGAAACUGCAGGUAAUACCGAAUAACGUCUCCGGACCAAAGGUGUGAUUCCACCUGGAGAGGGGCCUGCAUCCUAUUAGCUAGUUGGGGAGGUAACGGCUCACCAAGGCGACGAUGGGUAGCGGGUGUGAGAGCACGACCCGCGUCAUUGGGACUGAGACACUGCCCAGACACCUACGGGUGGCUGCAGUCGAGGAUCUUCGGCAAUGGGCGCAAGCCUGACCGAGCGACGCCGCGUGCGGGAUGAAGGCCUUCGGGUUGUAAACCGCUGUCGUAGAGGAGGAAAUGCAGGGGGGUUCUCCCCUCUGUUUGACCUAUUCUAGGAGGAAGGACGGGCUAAGUUCGUGCCAGCAGCCGCCGUAACAC